GAUGAACGCUGGCGGCGUGCUUAACACAUGCAAGUCGAACGAUGAAGCCCAGCUUGUUGGGGGGUUUAGUGGCGAACGGGUGAGAAACACGUGAGAAACAUCCCCUUAACUCUGGGAUAAGCCUGGGAAACUGGGUCUAUAACCGGAUAGAGGCGCCCCCCCCAGGGGGGGUGUUGGAAAGAUUUUGCGGUUUUGGAUGGACUCGCGGCCUAUCAGCUUGUUGGUGAGGUAUUGGCUCACCAAGGCGCGGACGGGUAGCCGGCCUGAGAGGGUGACCGGCCACACUGGGACUGAGACACGGCCCAGACUCCUACGGGAGGCAGCAGUGGGGAAUAUUGCACAAUGGGCGCAAGCCUGAUGCAGCGACGCCGCGUGAGGGAUGACGGCCUUCGGGUUGUAAACCUCUUUCAGUAGGGAAGAAGCGAAAGUGACGGUACCUGCAGAAGAAGCACCGGCUAACUACGUG
rnacentral:rRNA from 1 species